CAUUCAUACUCAAAUGGUACACGCCAUUUGACUCCAAACCAUUUGAAAGAUGAACUGAUCUCAUUUUCUCAGCAUCAUAUACUCCAGAUUCCUCUGCAGCCAAGGCCAUAGCUUCUCGUGUUUUCUUCAAAGAUUUCUGAAGCUCCAGUUCCUGAAGUUCACAUUUCUGCUUCAGGCUCUCAACCUGUAUUAUUAGACAUCAAGAUAAGAUCAUACUCAGUCAUCAAUCCAAGUCCACCAAAUAGUGCACAAAUUUUAUGAGCCAAAUGGAACAGAACCAGUUCGAGGAGAAAUUUCUUUUCAAGAAGUCAUGUGACUAUUCUCCUAUUUUGAUCCAUACCAAUUUGAAAGGGGUAAAGGUGAGGGGGUUACCUGUGAACGCAAUUUAAGCACUUCGUGAUUCAAAAGAUCAUUUGUUUUCUUCAAACCAUCAGUUAUGCUUUUGGAAAAGGAAAGUCCUGAUGCUGUGGGAACAGGAGUGGCAGAUCGAGGUGGGCUUGAUUUCCUUGAAAAAGGUGAAACGGAUCUAGAACUUACUCCAGAAGAAGUGACAACUGGUUUGGGAGCUGUCCGUCGCAGAUCAACAGCAGUUGAUAAU